GGUCGCUUUUGUAGCUCAUGCUAGGAUAUGAGCAUCAAGCCUUCUAAGCUUGUUGUCAGAGGUUCAGAAUCCUCUCGUGAUCGCCA
rnacentral:tRNA from 1 species